GUUGACUCUACAAGGUGUCGAAAGCAUUCCACAGGGAUGCUGGCCCAUGUUGACUCUACAAGGUGUCUAAAGCGUUCCACAGGGAUGCUGGCCCAUGUUGACUCUACAAGGUGUCUAAAGCGUUCCACAGGGAUGCUGGCCCAUGUUGACUCUACAAGGUGUUGAAAGCGUUCCACAGGGAUGCUGGCCCAUGUUGACUCUACAAGGUGUCGAAAGUGUUCCACAGGGAUGCUGGCCCAUGUUGACUCUACAAGGUGUUGAAAGCGUUCCACAGGGAUGCUGGCCCAUGUUGACUCUACAAGGUGUCGAAAGUGUUCCACAGGGAUGCUGGCCCAUGUUGACUCUACAAGGUGUUGAAAGCGUUCCACAGGGAUGCUGGCCCAUGUUGACUCUACAAGGUGUCGAAAGCGUUCCACAGGGAUGCUGGCCCAUGUUGACUCUACAAGGUGUUGAAAGCGUUCCACAGGGAUCCUGGCCCAUGUUGACUCU